rnacentral:rRNA from 1 species
UACGAAGGGGGCUAGCGUUGCUCGGAAUCACUGGGCGUAAAGGGUGCGUAGGCGGGUCUUUAAGUCAGGGGUGAAAUCCUGGAGCUCAACUCCAGAACUGCCUUUGAUACUGAGGAUCUUGAGUUCGGGAGAGGUGAGUGGAACUGCGAGUGUAGAGGUGAAAUUCGUAGAUAUUCGCAAGAACACCAGUGGCGAAGGCGGACUCGACUG